rnacentral:rRNA from 1 species
UUCGCAAUGCCCGAAAGGGUGACGAAGCGACGCCGCGUGGAUGAAGAAGGCCUUCGGGUUGUAAAAUCCUGUCAGGAGUUAUGAAAUAUAAGUUUGAUAAUACCAAAUUUAUUUGACAAAGGCUCCAGAGGAAGCCACGGCUAACUCUGUGCCAGCAGCCGCGGUAAUACAGAGGUGGCAAGCGUUGUUCGGAAUUAUUGGGCGUAAAGAGCACGUAGGUGGAUUUGUUAGUCAGAUGUGAAAGCCUUUCGUUCAACGGAAGAAUUGCAUCUGAAACUACAAACCUUGAGUAUAGGAGGGGAGAGUGGAACUUCUGGUGGAGCGGUGAAAUGCGUAGAUAUCAGAAGGAACGCCGGCGGCGAAAGCGACUCUCUGGCCUAUAACUGACACUGAGUGUGCGAAAGCUAGGGGAGCAAACGGGAUUAGAUACCCCGGUAGUCCUAGCCGUAAACGAUGGGCACUAAGUAGGGGGAACUA